GCGCGGCCUUGGCGGCUACUGUUACCACCUCUGAGCGGCGACUGGGCCGGAACGGCUGGAGUUCUCGGGUGCCCAGCCGGGCGCUCCCUCAGCCCAGUUCGCCACGUCAGCGAGCGGCCAGAGCCACAGAUGAUGACUGAGUCUCCGAGGCCUCUCGGUCUUUUUCUAUUUUAACAGGGGCGCGUGCAGAGCGUGAGACGAGGUCUUGCUUUGCCAUCCAGGCUGGAGUGCAGUGGUGCAAUCACAGCUCACUGCAGCCACAAACUCCUGGGCUCAAGUGACCCUCCCACCUCGGCCUCCCAGGUAGCUGGGACUAAUAGGGUCAUGCCACCAUGCCCUGCUUGAUCACUCUUUUAAACAUUGUUCUUCUCUUAAGAAAACAAACAAAAGAUUUACCUUACCAUAAUCUACACUUUUCCAUCCUACUUAACAUUUUCUAACAUAAAUUACUUAUGUUUAUUGCCUUACUCCUUCUACUAGAAUGUAAGCUUCAUGAACAUGAGGAUUUUUAAGUCUAUUUUGUUUGCUUCCCCAAUGCCCAGAAGAAAAUCUGGAGUAUAGUCUUUGUUUAAUACGCAUUUUUUUGAAGGCAUCAAUGAAACAAUAACAUUUUCCAGCACAGUUUUCCUCUCUUUGAAGAUUCAAGAUCACUUCAGUCCACUUUAGAUUUUUAACUACCAGUAAGGAAUUACACUAUUAGCUUAAGGGGCAACAUCAUAAGGGUCAAUGUUGUGAUUUCUAAGACCCUCAUUUUUAGACAAGCAUGUUUCUAAUCAUAAAAGCUCUAAUUUCCUCAGGAGAGUCUCUGUCUGUACUAGUUUCUAAAACAGCUAAGUGGGACCCAGAUUUUCUUGAACAAAAUCUAGGUAAAUAUGACUUACAAAAGAAAAGGUUGUGUACACUACAAACAGGGUAAAUAGUUCUCUUGGUGGUUGGAGUGGGGAAAUCAAUAUUUUUGGAACCAAGAGUCCAAAUUACAGAAUCAGAGUUGGAGAAGACCUGGGCCAACCUCUUCAUUUUACAGAUGAGAGUGCUAACAAGCAGAGACAUGAAGACAGUUGUCAAAGGGCAUAACGCUUAAGUUACCAGGAAAGCCAGGACUAGAACUUAGGUCUCCUAGUUCUCAGACCAGUGUUCUUUAUGCUUAACGGGGGAGGAUAAAGCUCAGAACAGUAAAUACUAUUUUAAACAUUAGAGGACAGGAAACUCUGUGUUGGUAGGAGCAUAACUGGCACAGGACUUAAGGGGAAUUGAAACAAGAGGUCAGAAAACCGAAGAUAGUCUAUUGCUGUAGUUCAAUGAACACUGUUACUAAAGGAAAGCUAUGAAGUUUAUUAAGAUACUGAAAAAAAAGGAAAGCAGUCUUUACCUGAAAAUGAAAACCCACUAGCAAAGGAAAUCUUUCCAGGGUAACUUUUCCCAAGCUUUCUGAAAUACUGUUUGAAAGAACAAACAAAAAAAUUUUUAAAAAGUAAACAGGCCAGGUACAGUGGCUCACACCUGUAAUCCUAGCACUUUGGGAGGUUGAGGCAGGAGGAUCACUUGAGCCCAGGAGUUUGAGGCCAGCCUGCUCAACAAAGUGAGACCAUGUCUCUACAAAAAAUUAAAAAAUAAAGAAAAUUAGCCAGGCAUGGUGGCGCAUGCCUGUAGUCCCAGCUACUUGGGAGGCUGAGGUGAGAAGAUUGCCUGAAUCCAGGAAUUUGAGGCUGCAGUGAGCCAUGAAUGUACCGCUGCACCCCAACCUGGGCAACAAAGCAAGACUCUGUCUCUUAAAAAAAAAAAAAAAAAAAAGUAAAAUACUCCCCAAGUCCCCAAACCCCAAAAACAGUAACUUUGGACUUCAGGUUUGAAAAAUCAGCAAAUCAAAGCAGGAAUGGGAAUAACUUAGACCCAAAUUAGUCUCUAUGCCAGAAAUGAAAACCAAGUUAAAAAUAAUAGCCAGGUGCGGUGGCUCACGCCUGUAAUCCCAGCACUUU
rnacentral:lncRNA from 10 species